GAUUAACGCUAGCGGCAGGCCUAAUACAUGCAAGUCGAACGGCAGCACGGGUAGCAAUACCUGGUGGCGAGUGGCGCACGGGUGAGUAACACGUAUGCAAUCUACCUUUAACUGGGGAAUAACCCUUCGAAAGAAGGGCUAAUACCGCAUAACACUUCGAGAAGGCAUCUUCAUGGAGUUAAACCUCCGGGAGUUAAAGAUGAGCAUGCGCUCGAUUAGUUAGUUGGUGAGGUAAUGGCUCACCAAGACUUCGAUCGAUAGGGGGUCUGAGAGGAUGACU
rnacentral:rRNA from 1 species